AAUGAAGGAUGUUUUUUAAUUUAACUUUUUUUUUUUUUUAAAGAAAAAUAUCAGUAAUAGGUCGGCAACAGCAGCCGUAGGAAGUACAACUUAGGGUAGCAUUAAAGCAUACUGUAGUGUGGAUAUAUUUUUUUUCUUUUUUAAAAUGUGAUAUUGACAUUUUAUUAAUAUUUUUUAAAUUGUUACGUUUAUAAAUUUGGUACUUAAGGCACAGCCAGUGUGAGGCACUGAACGCGACAUUUAUUACAAUGAGCUGCUGCACUCCUACUUUUAUAAAUUUUACUAACAAGUAGACUAAUGUAGACAUUCACAGACGGGAUAGCGCAGAAGCAUCUUCACACGACAAGUCUCCAAAAAAAAAAAGCUAAUUCAGAGAGGGCGGGAGGAAGCCUGUUCCCGUUCUAAUUAAGUGCAACCUUGUUUUAUCUUAUUGUUUUAUUUUUUAAGAAAGGAAAUCAUGUUCUUUUUUUAUAUCUCUAUAUAUAAGAUACAGAGUUGUUUGGUAAGGUUUGGGGUGUUUUUUGUUUUGUUUUGUUUUAAGUUUCCAAACAACCAAACUAAGAAAAAUGCUGGAUGCUUUUAGAAUACAAAACUUACUCAAGUCAUAAAAUAACAAAAUAGAACUUUUACUUUAAGAAACAACAACAAAGAGAGAGAGAGACUCGAUUCCCAGCAAGUCAGUGUCUCACAAGGGCACUGGCUAAUUACUCUUCUGUCCGCGUUGCUGAUGUCCUGUCCCCAGCCCCUGUCCAUCUCCCCCACACUCCCAUCACCUCAUAGAACGCUCUUUGUUGAUCAUUGUCUGUUAAUAAUGUAUAAAAUGGCUAUCUUGUAAGUGUGCUGUCUUGGUACUAGUGUAGUGACUUUUUUUCUCCUCUUCUAGUACAUAUUGAUAGGUAUAAUGUAAUUAAGGUUUUAAAAAAAAUAGACAUAGUUAUUCAGAUUAGGACCAGUAAGGAUAGAACUUUCUCUUAUUUAUGAAAAGAAAAAAAAUGCUAAUAAUUUGGGGGCAGUUUUUUCCUUUUUUUUUUUUUCCAAGUUCAAAUUUACUUUUAUUUUUGCUGAUUUGAUGUGGUUUCAACUAACCCAAGGUCUCACAAUGUUCAAAUGGCGGCUGACUCUACAGCAUUCUGUAGGUCCCUGCCCCCCUAGCUGAAGGGGUGUGCCAUACUACCUUAAAUGCAAACACUAGAUAUGCAAAACUGGAUUUUUUUAAUUUAUUUUUUAAAAGAGGGAGGUGUGGUAUAUUAAAAUGAUUUUACUAAGAGAAAAAAAAUAUUUUUUUAAGGAUGCUCAGAAGAAAUUGAUAAUCUGUGUGAAUAUGUUUUAGAUGUUUAUAUACAUUUUGAAGAGACCCAGUAGCCCAUAGCACAAAUCUUGUGAACAUCUGAUAUGUUUUCAAGUGGCUACCUAGGAUAAGGUUCAUCAUUAGUACCCCCACCCCCACCCCACCGCCAUCUAGAAGUCCAUCUUAAACAAUUUUUUGUAAAUUCUUUCAGCACUGGUGUCCAUCUUUGUCUUUGUUUCAGUUAAGCUCAAUAGCGAAUGUGGGACCCCCUCCUCUGACCUUCCCUGGGGGAGAAACCCUCUUGGCUAAUGGCUCUUCCCUGGCAUUAUCAAUAACCACCCGGGGACUCUCUGGCUUUCAGAUCCAUCUGCCUGAGACCCCAAGGUCCUCUCCUCCCUAGAGGGGAGGUGGAGCAGCAGUUGACUCCUGGUUCCCUCCCUAUUUCAGCCUGGAUGUGGGGCUGGUGGAGAUGCCUCCACCCCAGGAGCCUCUGCAUAUGUGGUUCGUGGCCUUCUUCUCACCCAUUGGGAAAACCAAACAGCCUCACACUCUGUCCCCAUCGCUCAUUGGCUUAACUCAAGUGAGACCCCAACUGGGCCUUUGCGUUUUGUUUUUGUUUUUUUUUAAAUCCUUCAUGACCAUUCUCUUAAUUUGAACUCGUAGCUUGGGCUUUAAGGUAGCAUGGCUCGAUUGCUGUCGACUUAAUGUUCCACUGCACAGCAAUUCACGGCCAGUGAAUGUUACACACAUCUUGCUAGACUAGUAUAAAAAUCAUUGGGUAAUUGUUGGUUCUAAUGACCUGAAAGGUGUUCAGUUUGUGGGUUUUUUUUGGGGGGGGCUGCUUGGGGGGUUGUUUUUCCUUCUUUGUUUUUUUUUAAUUUGAGAAUUUAGGGGGAUAAUUUUUGGGGGGGGGUUCCAAAUAAAAAAAUAGAAAGCUAUUUUGAUCUUUAGUGCAAACUAGGGACGUAGCCUCCAUCACCACAACCACACCGCUUCGCUCUGCCAUCCACCCACCGCAGCAGCAUCUUCAAGAAUAAAGCAAUAUAGUUUACUACAUUUUUUUUUAAAAUUGAAGGUCAGCCAUGCUUUCUGUAUUAUAUUGCAUAUGAAAUUGUUUACAAAAGAAACACUAACUCAUCCUUCUCUUUAUCAGUUGAAAGUGACACACGGGACAGAGGGAAAUUGGAGGGCAGGUGAGGGAGGGGAGAGGGUUUUUUUGUAUUUUGGUUUGUUUGGUUUUGGUUUCUUUUCUUGAAUGUGCUUUAGUAGCCAGAUCCUCCAAGGAAGGCAAAAGCCAGCCAGCCAGAGAGAGAGUAGCGAAGCGGGCAGGCUGCAGGUAAGCACACUGAACAAGAGACACACUGGCAAGCUCCCCCACCUCAGCGAGAGCAGAAAGCGAACAGCUCAGCCCAGUCCUGGGCACAGACACUACACAAGGCAAUGCUGGAAUUGAAACAAUACUUUAAUACCGUUUAAGUUUGUUUCCUUUUUUUUUUUCCUCUUUUUUUUUUCUUUCACCAAGAAAAGAAAAAAGUAAACUAAAAUACAAAAUACAAAAACAAACAAACAAACAACAACCCAUAUAAAUAAAACCCACCCCUCUCUGGGAAACAACCAUAAUUCAAACAUGGCUAUUUAGUAAUCAGAAGGUAUUGUCUCAGACAGGAUUUCAUUUCCGGGAGGCAGGGCGUGAGGGGGGAGGGGAGUGGGACUGAGAGACAGUUCCAGAGCCUCCAGGGAAGGCUUCUACUGCUAACUGCUGUAUUCUGUAUAUACUGUGCCACCCUGUGUGGAGUCUGUGAGUGUGCUCUUGAGUAGCGUGGGCUAGCCAAUCUGCCAUUCAUGGUGUUAUAAACUCGGAAUUCCAUAUGUAAUAGGAUGCAAGUCUAAGCGUUUCAUGUGGACAUAAAUGUAUCUAAAUAAAACUUCCCCUAGCACUGUGGCUGACCUCACCCUUACUUUUAUACUUUAGUAUGAAACUGAUGAGAACUUUGGUAGUGAGUAUUUUUUUUAUAUAUAUACAUAUAUAUGUAUCUAUAUAUAUAUAUAUAUCUCAAGCAUCUUUCAGGUCUUUGUGUGUGGCUUUCUUAAAGCCCUGUUGUAAAAAAAAAAAAAAUUACUAAGUGGAUGGCAGUCUCUCACAUCACAGAUGUGGAAAGUAUAAUUUUAUAUUUGUAUUUUCAAAUAAAUAAGUUUGUGAAAGG
rnacentral:lncRNA from 1 species